rnacentral:rRNA from 1 species
AACAAACGCUGGCGGCGUGCCUAAUACAUGCAAGUCGAACGGGGAAAGCUUUCGGGUGAGUACUAGUGGCGCACGGGUGAGUAACGCGUGGAUAAUCUGCCUUAGAGUGGGGGAUAACUAGUCGAAAGAUUAGCUAAUACCGCAUAAGACCACAAGAACUGCGGUUCAAGAGGUCAAAGGUUUUUCGCUCUAAGAUGAGUCCGCGUAAGAUUAGCUAGUUGGUGAGGCAACGGCUCACCAAGGCAACGAUCUUUAACUGGUCUGAGAGGAUGAUCAGUCACACUGGAACUGAGACACGGUCCAGACUCCUACGGGAGGCAGCAGUAGGGAAUAUUGCACAAUGGAGGAAACUCUGAUGCAGCGACGCCGCGUGAGUGAUGAAGGCCUUCGGGUCGUAAAGCUCUGUCGCAGGGGAAUAACACAAUGAAUGUACCCUGUAAGAAAGGAUCGGCUAACUUCGUGCCAGCCGCCGCAGUAAAAC